AUAAAAAAAAAAGUCUUUAUAAAGUUGCAACCUUAAAAUGUAAAAUUAUUCUUCAUGACUUCUAUGUACAAAAUAAUAAAAAAAAAUUUAUAUAAGGUUACAACCUUAAAAUGCAAAGAUUCACGUCGAAAAUCCAUCGUAAAAUGUUGUUAUAAUGUUGAAAAACCUGUUAAAUGAUUGUCUUGACAAAGAGAUGUAUGAAUAUGAAAAAAAAAAAAAGAUUUUUAGUCUCGUAAAUAAUCUAUCUUGCAACAUAUUAUCUAGACCGUUAAUCUUCAAUAUUUUUCAUAUGUUUAUAGAUCUAAUUAAUUUUAACUAUUUUUAGAAUUUAAAAUUUUAUAAUUAAAUGUGAAAAUUGUUUUUCAAAUAAUCUUAAGCAUUGUUUACACCAAAAUUACAUGCUAUGAUAAAUUUUGAAGGCACACCUGAAUUGGAUUGUUAGAAAGAAGUAGUUUCUUUAUGACGAGGAAAAAUUUUAUAUAGAGCCGAGGCUCCAAACAAUCAAAUUAGAGCUCACCUAAAAACUUUCACUAGAAGAGGUUAUUUUGAUGCCUAAAUAUGAUCAAGUUGAUCAUCUCGAAAUUAAGAUGCAUGGACAUGAGAAAACAUGAAUUUCAAGUUUUAGAAAUAGUGCAUAUUGUAACGUAUUUUUGGAUCGUUAAUUUAAGAUUAUCAAGUUUUAUAGAUCUACUCGAUCUACACUAUUUCAAAGCUUUAAAUUUUAUAAUUAAAUAUAAAAAUAUAUUUUAAGAAUAUCACAAAUAUUUUUCGAUAAUGAAACUAUAUUUCUGGGUAGCAUUUGAAUGUGUGUUUUGCUUUUGUUUUUUUGAGCCUCCGCUUUAUUCAAACCGCACCUUGUAGACAAUCCCAAGAAACUGGCUUUCUAAUCGAUUUAAAAGGGUGCGGUCCUUUUUGGUUAGGAAAGGUUGAUGUGAUGGGCGAACGAUGGGGAUUAAACCUGCACGUGGUGGAUUCACAAUCUUCGAACUACUUGGUUACAUCCGCACCUACCCCUCGGACAGGUUUCAGUCUCUAUUUACGAUUGUAUGAAGCUGAGGCCGUAAACAAUCAAAGUAAGGUGCACUUUUAAAUAGUGUUAAAUGAUAGUUUCAAUGGUUGAAACUUUUGUAAUUGUCUUUAAAUAUAUUUUCACUUUUAAUUAUAUAAUUUAAAAUUUAAAACUCUAAAAAUAAUGUAGAUCGAGCAAUUUAUGAAAACUUAAAAAUCUUCAAAAUUGACUAUCAAAAUAUAUAUUAUAAGAUGUAUUAUUUUUAAAAUUUAAAUUUAAUUUAUUUAUUUAUUUUUAUUUUUUAUAUAGUCGAGAUGAUCAAUUUGAAGAUAUAUGAGCAUCAAAACAACGUCAGUGAACUUUUUUAGAUGCGGUCUAAUUGGAUAGUUUAGAGCCCGGCACUUAUAUAAACUUUUUCCUUUAAAAAUGAUACAGGUUUCUAGUGGCACUCCAAGAAAAGUAGGGGUAAUGUUGUCAUUUUGAUGAGAAUUCCCCUUAAAAAGGACUGCUCUGUUUUGUUUCAAUGACGGUACAUCAAAAAAGCCAUGGGACGUGCGAAGAAAUUGAUCAUUGAUACAGAUCCCGGAAUAGGUAAAAAUAAAAAUAAAAUAAAAGGCCACAAAUUUGGUUUUCUUUUUCAUUUUACAUUGAUUAAAUCAAUUUUAUCACCAUUAUUAUGUGAUUAAUGUUUUCUGCUUUUCAUUUAAUUAACAGGGUUAUAUUCAACCUUGAUUUUUCUCAGUUUUUUCUUUUCAUUUUUUUUACUAUGGAUUAAAGUAUUUAUAGUGAAGAUUUUGAAUAUGUGAAACCCAAGAAUAUGGAAUUUUAGGUCCUGCUUUAUUGCCAGUGUGCUGAGCUUUAUACAAUGAAACUCCAAAUUAUAGUAGAUUGAAUCAGUUUUUUCCCUUUUUCUGGAGUGCCCACUAUUAUCAGAGGGCCUUUGAAAUUAUGAAUUAUUAAGUUUUUAACUGUUUUGUCUAAUUAUCGUAAGGGGACUAUAAACUGGGGCUACUUGAAUCAGUUUGUUUUCAAUUUAUUUUGAUUUAGUUCAAUUCAAUGUGCUUAGAAAGCCUCGAUAUGGAUGGAUCUGGGUUUUGUUGCUGCAUAAUCAAGAUUAAAUUAAAUUUUGCAUUUUUCUUUGUACUUAAACAUAUGUUCAUUUAUUGGUGAUAUGUGAUGUCAUUAAAUGUAGAAAAUGAAGCACAAAUGUUUUGUUUAUGUUGAAGUGCUUUUUAUUUUUGAUUAAUUUUGAUUUAUUGAUAAAAAGUCUAUUUGUUUACCUGUGCAUUUUAUGCUGAUAUGUGCUGUGAUUAAAACAUUAAAUGUUUUCUUUUUUUUCUUUGCAAAGGAAUCCUGGCCAAUAAUUUGGGCUUUAAAUUCUUGUGUUAAAAAACUAAGGAAUACUAUUUCUAUCCCAAGAACAAAAAAAGAUAAAAAUGGAUCAGUGCACUGAAACAAUCUAGGGCAGAGCUUUUUUUGGAUUCGUAGGUUGGGUCAUCUUGCAUUGACAUGAUCGAGGACAUAUGUGGAUCAGAUCAUUCUUGGUGAAAUCUACGCUUAGAUAAAUCUGAAUGAAUCAGAGCAUUUUUUAUGAAAUCCAUGAUUAAAUACAUCAGAAAAGUGGGAUUUAGAAUGCAGGCAUUGUCCUCAUUCUUUUCAUGAAUUUGAGAUAAAUUGUAGCAUUUUCAGGUGAAUUUUAGGAAGAGGUUUUUCAAUUGACAUAUAUUUGGGCAAAGUCCUACACUACAAACAAAAAAAGACUCUGAAUUUAUGUGUUAUUUAGCAAUUUCACAGCAUUGGUUCCCUUCUUUUCAGUGUUUCAUGUUUCCUGAAAUUUAUAGUACUAUGCAGUUUGGUCAUUUAUUAUGUCAAACUUCACAGUGUUAUAGUAAUUUCAGUGUGGAAUCCUGAAAUUCAAAGUGAAAUGCCAAGUAUGGUUAUGGGGUUGUCUUUUACUUAGAUAUAUAUAUAUAUUUUUUUUUCUGUUAUCCUUUGGAGAACUACUUGAAGAGUUUUUGCAUGUACUUUUAUGAUGGUAAUAACAAUACGAUGAGUCCGUGGAACUGUUCAAUUUGUAGCCUUUAGGUAGAUGAUACGUGAAUUGGAUUUUUUUCCUCACCAAUGAAUUGAGUGGAUUUGGCUUAAAGCUCAAGUGAGGCCACUCAUUGAACAAUGAAGGACAUAGAUUGCUAAUUUCACGAACUGUUUUUCUAUUAUAUAAGAUAUCAAUAUUUCUAGGAUUAGUAGAAAAUAGAAAAUUUCAAAAAAGACAAAUUUUUAGGAGAAAUCUAAUAAGAGGAACAUGAAAAGAAGAGAUUUACCAAAUGAAAAUGGUAAAUUGCUAUAUUUUAUCUUAUAUUAGGGGUUGUAUAGAAGCUCAUAAUCUAAUAUCAUUGAAAAAUAUGUUUUCUUAGAUAAGACUUACAUUUACUUUGCAAAGGCAUAUUUACUCCGAUAAAAAGCACCUACUAUGAAAAAUAAGGGUUCAACAGAUUAUUCUUUUGGGCCAUUUUAGCUUAUAUUUGUCUCACUUGGUUUUAUUGUAUGAGCAGAUGAUGCCAUGGCAAUAUUUUUGGCACUUAAAUCACCAGAAGUGGAUGUCAUUGGACUGACCACGAUAUUUGGGAAUGUUUAUACAACUUUAGCUACAAGAAAUGCUCUACAUUUGGUAUCUCUUUUCCCCAUGAACUUGGAGAUGACUAUGGGAGCAAAUGCAUGAUACUUGUUUUCAUGGCAUUAUGCAUUAUUAUUUUAUUGUUGUAGAGAUUUCCAUUUUGAUUAAGCAUUUAAGGUUACAUCAGAUGGUUAGGCAUUUGCAUCUUCCUUGACUGUUUGUCAUUGUCUGUUUUAGCUGGAGGUUGCAGAGAGGCAAGAGAUUCCAGUGGCAGAAGGAUCGCAUGUAACAUUGAAGGUUAGCUUUUCAGUAACGCCAAAGAUUAGUUUUUCUCUCCUUUAUUUCCAUUAUAGGUUGGUCAAAUGGGACUUUUUUCCUUGUAUUUUUCACUGCUUCUAUCUGUUAACCUUCAACUACUUGAUAACUGGUGUUUUUGACCCUGCAAUCCACAUUUAAAAUCUGACUUCUUGAGAUAGUGGUUGAGGAUUUUUUAUUUAUUGUCAUUUUAAAAAAGAGAAGUGCUGAAACCCACAGUGGACUCUAUCCCAUUUCUUGCAUCUUUCACAUCAUGGAUGAAAAACUUUAAGCUUUUUCUCUUGCUUGUUUAUUAUUAAUAGUGAUUUUGCCAAUAAAAGAUUUGAAAUUCCAUGUUUGCUUAACUGAGUUUCUUGUUAUUUGUUUGGAAAAGAAAGUUACAAAGCUUCGGAUUGCUGAUUUCGUCCAUGGUGCUGAUGGGCUUGGCAACCACAAUUAUCCUCCACCUAAAGGGAAGCCAAUCGAUCAAUCUGCCGCAUCUUUUCUUGUAGAAAAGGCAAAUCAAUUUCCAGGAGAGGUCACUGUUGUCGCACUUGGCCCUCUUACCAAUAUUGCCUUGGUCGGUUCUUAGCUCUUGAACUUGACACAAUUCCAUCUUCUGCUUCUAAUUUAUCACAGUACGCACCUAUUAAUAUUGCCUUGGUUAGUCUCUUAGUGUUCCAAUCGAAACAAUUUUACUUCUAUCUUCUGAUUAAUCGCAUUACCCAUUUACUACUUUUGUUGAUCUCUUGGUUUUUGAAACUGACACAACUCCUAUCCGUGCUUUUAAGAAAUUGCAAUAUCAACUUAUGAAUGUCACUUCAGCCAGUCCCUUGGCUCUCCAAUCGACCCAAUCCCUCCUUUGUGCUUCUCAUCAAUCACAUGAAUCACUUACUAAUAUUGCCCAGGUUCGAUUUUUGGCUUUAACUUGCUUCCCUUGUGUGCUUCUAAUUAGUCUUACUACUGGUACAGGCAAUCCAAUUGGAUCCUGAAUUUCCAAAGAAGAUUGGUCAGAUCGUUAUUCUUGGUGGUGCAUUUUCAGUCAAUGGGAAUGUCAAUCCUGCAGCCGAGGCCAAUGUAUGCCACUUUGCGUUUAGAUAGCCUAUGUGCACUUACGUAGAGUUUCAAAUUCAAAUCUGGGCAUCUUGAUUUCACCUUACUUCACAUGCUUCUUCCGUAGGAAUGAAUUCUGUUCAUUUAUGAAAGAAACACACAACUAAUGUAGAAUUUAUGGGAUCAAUUUAAAGAUUUUUGGUGACCCAGAAGCUGCUGAUGAAGUCUUUACAUGUGGAGCAGACAUCUUGGCUGUUGGGAUUAAUGUUACUCAUCAAGUUGUUAUGACAGGUAUGUAAUACCCUAUAAGAAUAAAUAGUGGCCUGUUAUACAUCAAGAAAUAUGAUGGAGCUUAUGUUGUCAAUAUCACUACCCCACUUUUCUUUUAGUUAUAUAGGACCUUGUUUAUCUUAACAAAGACGUGCCUAGAUUGGUACACGUUGACGAAACUCUGUCCAAAACUGGUCAAUAUUUUAGCAAAAUCAGAUAGAAUGGGUUCAAAAUGGGCAAAUGAGGCCUAAAUUGGUUCAAAUUGAUCCAUAUUGACAGAAGGCCAUCUAUUUACUGGCCUUGGGCUGCUUCUGAUUGCUAAUUAACGCUUCAAAUCCAAUUUUAGCAGCUAUGCUACUAGUUGAUUCAUAAUCACAUAUCGACGUCCUAUAAUAUAGCAGUGAUAGCAUUCUCACCUUCUUACUCCAACUUAAUAGUGGGUUUGUCUUGUGAUUUUGUUUCCAUUUUGCAGUUGCAGAUCUUGAGGAACUUUCGAGAUCUGAGGGGAAGUGUGCAAAACAUGUAUGCCAUAUGGCAAAUCUCUACUUCUCAUAUCAUAAGGAGGCAUAUGGCAUGGAUGGUGGGUUUCUUAAGAGGUUUCUUUUUCAAAUUUUAUUGCUCUAUGAUGUGGUUGUUCUAUCGGUUUGAGACAUUAUGUGCCUUUUGCUAUAUGUUUGGUUUGAUACAGGCGUUUAUCUUCAUGAUCCUACUGCUAUGCUUGCUGCCAUUGACCCAACAUUGGUGACAUAUGCUGAGGGUGUAGUAAGAGUGCAGACAUCUGGCAUCAUGAGGGGCCUCACGAUAUUUGCCAACAUGAGGAAGAGGUCACUUUCCAUUGUUUUCGAACUUUCUUUUCACAAAUGAAAAAAAUCUUUAGGGGCUGUCUUAGGUUAUUGGCAUGGUUCUCUUGGGCUAGCCUGACUUUGUGGGUUUGAUAUUCAGCAGAUUAGUUUAGUUUGGUUUCAAAGUUUUAUUCAAAUUCUUACCUCUUCAAUGACAUCCUGAAUUUUCCAUUCAAAAUUUGUUGACCCACUCAAUUUUUUGAGAAAUACCCAAAAUAUCCUUUAUUUUCUUGAAAUGGUUAUUGUGGGAGCUGGCCUGACAAAAAUUUAGCUAUUAUCGAUUUUUUUGAAAUGGUUAUUACAGAAACUGGCUGAAGUGCUUAUAUCUGUGAUGUUCUCAAUUGACCAAAUGUUAUCCGCUUGUCUGCUAAAAAUAGCUUUACAUUUCAAACAACUAUCUUGCCCUUCAUGUUUUCUGUUUCUUGUAUUUGAAAUUAUUGUUCCCUUUCUCUUCGCUCAUUGUUGUAUUUUGCUCAUGGGCCCUUGGAGUGGUUCAGAUCUGAUUUUUUCAUCUGUAGUUGGAAUAUUUCAAUCUUCCAAGAUAUAGAGGACUCGUGUGUCAAAUGUUUGUCAACUUGAUUUCUGGGUAUUUUAUUAUUUAUUAUAGGUAACAGUUGUUUAAGAGAAACAAAUAAAGAAAUACUAAAAAUCAAAACAUAGCACAAUAUUGAGAUUCAGGUUUGAAUUCUUUUACUUUCACUUUCCUCAACUACCCUUUUUAGAUCUUUUAAAAUUCAGGAACUUGACUAGAAAAGGCAUGCGGAGUGAAGUAUGACAAACCCGCAUUAAAGUUUUUCAUUUUCCUCUUCUUUCUUAUAUAAAAAAAUUACCCAAAACAAUUUUUUUGAUUAAUUUUGUUGGGUAAUUCUGCUAAAUUUCAGGUUCAGUGAGAUCACAGAGUGGACCAACAAACCGACGGUGAAGGUGGCGGUUACUGUGAAUGCAGAAGAAACGGUGAAAUUGCUCAUGGCGAGGCUUUCCAAACCCUAACAAAAUUGGACAUGUGCUGGACUGUGAUGGGUGCUCAUCUUUGUAAGCGACACGUGGCGGCUCUUGAUUGGAUGCCAUGAAUCUUUCUUGUGCUGCUCAAAAUAAAGGUGUUUUUAUAUUUUCUUUCUUUUUAAGCAAAAAAAAAAAAACCAGUCCAAAAGGAGUGAGACUUUCUUCUUGAUAUGAAAAAGUGGGGUAUUUGAAUGGCAUUUAUGCAGUUGGGAGUUGAAUGGUAAUUGGGCCUUCUCCCUCUCCCUCUCCCUCCCUCUCCCUCUCCCUCCCUCUCUCACUUUCUCUCUCUCUCAAGUUUUUUGAACAUCUAAAUAGUGAAAAAGAAGUUAGAAAAGGACUACAAAAUUAGAAAAGGAGUAGUAACACUUUUGUCUUGAUAAAAGUUGAGACCUAAGACUAAGUGAAUGUGGUAGUGCAAAAUUUAAUGAGAGAGAAAGAAAUGAUCCAAAGAAUGUGAUACUGAGGCUGAUGCCUUGGCUAGAGCAACUAGAACAAUUUCAUCAGUUAGUAGAUUUUUUGUUGUAUAAUUAUAUUAACUCUUUUGAUAGAGAAGUCAUGUUCCAUGUUAAUAUGCGUGUUUGUUUGGCAGAAGGUUUGGAUUUGGAAGACGAACUUUCCAAAUUUUUUGGCUCCAUGGGAGGCAUGAAAGGGGUGGGAAAAAAAAAAUUGAAACCACUCUUUCCAUGCCACCCCGUGGAGCCAAAAAGUUCGGAAGGUUCAGCUUCUGCCAAACAAACACGCCUUUAGAGAGAGAGAGAUUGCCCUUCUUGUGGAUGGAAGUGCAUAGAAUGAUGUAGUGAUAAUGCCGGCAUAAGCUUUAUCACCAUUAAUCAUUGUUUUGUACGGUGAUGGAGAGAGCUUGAAGGCACAUGGGAAUCAAUCCGAUCAGCUCUGCAAUCGCUACCGUCCAAAGAAGUAAGUGAACGAUAAAUAUAAAGUUCAUUCAUAUUGAUCAUACUUUCUCCUCUUUUUUUUUUUUUGAAGAACAUAUGGAUCCUAUUUUCUCCUUGUUGAUAUGGUACACCACAUUAGUAUUUUUAGGAAGAAAAAUAUAGAAUCAUUAUCCAAGUCUUAUUCCAAGUAUUUGAGUUCAGUUACAUGAAUUAUGUUCUUCCAUUUUUCGAUCAAGAGACGUAAAUAAGAAAAAGAAAAAUUAUUUCAUUCGAGCUCAUACUACAUUUCAAUAUAUGCGGUCCAGAAAGUGUAAAGCAACCAUAUUAAAGAUGAACACAAGUAGGUGUUCCAUCUAAAACAAUAGAAACUAAUGGUCCAAAUGUUUUCUUACUAUAAACCGGGUCUUAAGAAAAAUGCAAAAUAAGACUAUUUAUCUUUAGUACAUGUACUGAAAGUGUAGAAUAAAUUAUUUACCUUAGGUACAAAGAUGUCAUAAACUUCGUGAAUGUUAGAUUUAAAUUCAAAUGGUUAGGUAUCAGUCGUUGACCAAGCUCAAAGUUAAAAAGAAAACAUCUUGAGCUAUGCAAAACAUCUCAAGCUUUCAGAUUUGACACCCAACAGAGUAAUUGCGACUUUCUUAUAAUGUAGGAAAAUCGUUUUAUAUAGAUAAAUUUCAUGGUAAGAUGUAUGUUUAAAAAAAAUCACAUAUCUAUAUAGGGCAUCAACCUUAUACUAUUGAAAUAAAAUGCACUUUAGAAAAAGUUGUUCCGAUGUUGAAAGACCCUCAAAUUGAUCAUCUCAACCUUAAGAUUGAUCGAUAUUAAAAAAAAAAGAAAAAAGAAAAAAAAGAUCUCAAGUCAUGAAAAAUAAUUCAUCUUAUAACAUAUUAUUUUGACUGUCUAUUUUAUAAAUGGGAAAACAUACAAAUAUAUCAUUUACUUUUAAUACAAGGAGGUCACAAUUACUUUUGUCUAUCAAAUUUCAAAUCGGAUGGUUGUGAGUAUCAUUGACUAGCCUCUAAAUACAAAAAAAAAAUUCUCAAAUUUUGUGACAUCCAAACUAUCCAAUUUGACAUUUAAUGGUUAGUAUGAAUUGUGACCUCCUCAUACGAAAAAUAAAUAACCUCAUAAUAUACAAUCCUUUUAGAAAUAGAUAAUUGUUUAUAUAUCUACUUGACUUGAAUCAUUUUUUAGCUUUGAAUUUCAUGCAUAAGAGUGAAUAGAUUUUUAUGCCAUUUUAAGGCUUUACAGCGCCAAAACUACAUGUAAAAACCUCACACCUAUGCAUUACAACAAAGGUUCCCACCUUUUUGUCAUCAUUUUCAAUCUCUAAAUUACACUUUGAACAAACACUCAAAAGUUUUUUAAAUUGGAAGACACCCAAUGUCCAAAUUCAUCACCCCAAAAAAUAAACCCCUGAUUGAAAUAUCAGGUGUCUGAACCAAGAAACAUCCACGAUAGCUUAAAUAGAGUUAUUGCAGAGCAUAGAAAAUAUGCUAUCCUUUUUCAAAUAUACAUCUUGUAGAGGGAUUUAACUAGAAAAUUCAUCAAAAUUUUAUGCAAUAAAAAUUUAAAAUAUUAUUUUUUUCUUGUACAGGGUUUAACUACAAAUUUGUCAUCAGAUGUUUGUGGGCAUAUGUACUCGUGGGAGUGUUUCUUUGCUCAUUUUCUAUGUAAGUGCCAAUGAUGGUACAAGGUGUGAGCCAUAUCCUUGGAUUUGCCUAAUUAUCCCUAGAUAUAUACAAAUUGCCACCCCUAGAUAAGUGCAUUUUUUUUCCCCUGACUACGUCACUAAAUUAAGGAAAAUUUAUUGAAAUACCCAUAAAAGAUUGAAAUACCCAUAAAAGAUGAACUAUUAAAUAAUUUACCAUUAGCAAAUACUUUUAACUCAUGAUCAUGUGCCUUUUUUAUGGAUAUUUUGAAAUUAAAUUAGGCAGAACAUAAAACAAUUCAUCUUUCAUGGAUGUUAGAUUAAACUUCCCCCAAAUUAAUAAAAGUGAUAGUCUCAUUAUAUGCAUUGCUUUACCAUAAACAUCGAAAAGAUGAAAAAGGUUUCUAUAUGACAGGAACUUGUAGAUGUAAGACUGCCAUACCCUACAUUGUUAAAGACAUGAUAAAUUUUGAUAGUAUAAAAGACAUUAAAAAUCUAUACCAUCAAACUAAAAAGAACAUUAUAGAGUACCAAACAACCUUACUUCAACAAGUCAGCUUGCCGCAUUACAUGAACUGUAUAAAAAAGAAAGGAAAUGUAUAAAAUGAAAUCAUUUAUUUUGCAUACAAAGUAGUCUCAAUCACUAUUAACCAUUAAGUUUGAAAUCAGUUAAUUGAGGAUGUAUCAUCGUCUGGUCAUAAAGUCCAAAAUAAAAUUUUUCGAAUAUUGUGACAAACUUUAAUCUAUUUGAUUUUACAAAUAAUGACUAAAAUGAUUGUGACCUCAUUGGACCAACAAUGGUCUCCUAAUAUACAAUCCCAUAAAAAAAGAAGUAAACUUCAGUAUCAUAAAUGUAAGAGAGGAGCCACAUUUGAAUAUUAACCCUGCUGAACAGUAACAUGCUCUAUAGGAAAAGAAUGAUGUUUCUUCCGGACCCAAACAAAAUCCAUCUCAAAGGGUCUCUUUCUCUCUCUACCAGAAUUAAAUAUUAGCCCUGCAGAAUUGUAACAAAUCUCUCUCUCUCUCUCUNNNNNNNNNNNNNNNNNNNNNNNNNNNNNNNNNNNNNNNNNNNNNNNNNNNNNNNNNNNNNNNNNNNNNNNNNNNNNNNNNNNNNNNNNNNNNNNNNNNNNNNNNNNNNNNNNNNNNCGUUACCGUACCGUAAACCAAACUAACACUACUACUAACGGUACGUACGUUCUUCUCUACUACUACGUAACUUAAAUAAUUACGUACUCGUCACGAUAGUAACUAACUUCUCUCUCUCUCUCUCUCUCUCUCUCUCUCUCUCUCUCUCUCUCUCUCCUGUGUGUUGUGCUGAGCAACCCAGACAGUUCAUUCC
rnacentral:lncRNA from 1 species